rnacentral:lncRNA from 1 species
AGAAUGGAAUAACAGAAGAUCUCUUCAUGAAGACAAAAAAAGAAAUAAUACUCCCUACCUUAGAAGAAACUGGAUAUAGAAGUAGUGAAGUAGCAGAAUACUUUUCUUCUUUCUCUCUAUAAUAAUUGCUCUAUAGCUUUAGUGAAUUGGUGAGAAAUGAAGGAAGAAUGAGCUUCUAUUUAUAGGAAAAUAUAGUUUCGAUAAUUGCACGUUUUGGUGCUCAAAAAAUUAUAGUACAAUACCUCCAACUUUUCUUUCAUUUUUAAUUUAGUCCUGCAAGU